rnacentral:lncRNA from 1 species
UGAAAUUCACUGUUUUAUUAGCUUAAACUGAAAGCAAACUCGCCUAUAACAUGUAACCUAACAUAUAAUUCAAACUAACAUUUCCUUUUAAAUUCUAGCAAACAGGACACCAAAACUAAAAUCAACUACACUAAAAAACAUUAUUUGAAUAAGGAGAACAGUCCAGUUAUUACAACCAUCGGAAGUCCAGGUUCAUUGAAUUUCAAAUAACUACUGUAUAGGCUAUCAUGUAAAAUAAUGUGUAUACAAGUAAACUAAACAUGAAAUUAACAUGGGCAAUUUGUCAUUUAUUCAACAAUUUGAAUACACUUGCUAAUUUAGCUUUUCACACAUCAUUGGAGGUUGAAGAAUACCUGGAAUUAAACCAAAACAAAGGUGAGGAUCAGCCCAAACAACAAGCAGACAACAGGUGUAUUUCAGCAGGGAAUUAUCAACAGCAAUGGAAUCUCGACAGCCAAUCGGCAAACCAAUAAACAACCCAGAAAACUGAUACUUUCAAAAUCAGAGAAGAAACACCAGAAAUAGGAACCAAUUAGGCUGAAUCAGCUCAUUCGAAAUUUAUGAAUGCUUUUGGAAGAUGAGAAUCUAGACAGAUCUAAUAUAACAGUAUUUUGCAAAGGUUUUCUACUAUUUUUUUUUUAGGAUUUUGGGUUUAGGAUCUAAUGACUUGCAUCUAAACUAUCUAUUUCUACCAGAAUUUUUGGAUAUUUAGUAGUUUUUCAGUAGUUUGCAUUUGAACUUUCUUAGAUUUUUCCUUCUCUAAUGCUAAGAUUUGAGAGAGUUUUGAUUUUUUUUUAAAAUUUUUCAGAUCUUCCAAAAUGUUUUUGUGUGUUUUCAGAUUUCAAGUUAUUCCCUGCCUUGAAAGGCAAGUUUACAAUCCCUUUAUAAGCAAGCAAAUAUGGCAGCCCUCUAUUUUUAGUUUUGCACCAUUAGUCCCUUUUUUAUUCUCAAUUUUUGGCUAGUUAGUUCCUAAUUUAUCAGCUUGUUUCACAAGUUACACAACAAACUUUUAAAAUUCCAUUUUGAACCCCACCUAGAAGCUUCUAGGGAAUUCUAUUCUUAUUACUUGCAAGAUUGAAAUACCUACACUACCCUAACUUUAUUCUGUAAUUACCAAUCAACUACACCACCCCUUUGUCUCAAUUUACCAUAGUUAGUCAACAUCAAGCUAAAAACUAAUCAACUAUAAACAAACAUCACCAAUAAGAACAUUUAAAAAUUCUAAUUGACCUUAAACAAUCAAACUAGAAUAAUUCUAGUUAGCACUAGAGCCCUAAGGCUUAAAUUGAAACUACAGUAAAUAAAUGAAAAUGUCAUUGAAAUCAAACAAGCUAAGAUAACAACAAUAUGUUUUUAAUCGUCGGAUGGUAGGAAGCUCAAAAAAGAACCAAACAAGACCGUCAAGCAUCAAAACACACAAACGAAACUAACAAGGCAGAACCAAACAAAACCCUAAAUUAAUCCUAAAACAAAAGAAAUACUGAGACGGACGAAACAAAGCAAAAUUAAAAAAACUAAUGCAUGAAAAAGGGAAAAUCUGCAGAUUAUAAAUAAGAAAAGGAAAUUCAAGAAAACUUACUGAUUUUAAGCUUUGAACUCGACUGACCUCACAUUUGAUCCUCGAAUAAUGUUGUGUACUUGUUCUUGCCAAGAAUAACACAUAGCAUUAUUCCAAAACCCAAAUCAAAUCACUGGUGACCUUUGGAAAUUCGAUCAGCCCUGGACGAAACCCUAGAAUUAAAAUUCAACGGACUACGGUUGGAUUUGAAAAAAAUAGAUUGGGAUUUAGGUAGAGGAGGGGGAGACCGUUCUGGGGUGUGAUUUUGGUAUGGUUUGGAGGAUUUUAGGAUUAGCUGACUUCAUUUGAUUCAAUAUUUGAAGCGCUCGAUUGGGAUUUGAAGAAAAAGGGGUUCGAAUUUGGGAAAGGGUGUCAGAUGCGGUUCAGGGGUGUGCUUUUGGUGGCCAUCGGAGCCAACGCCGCCGUGGAUGGCAGAGCUGCCGAGAUUUCAAAGCUUUAUUCGACGAGCCUGUAUGUUCGAAGGAAACCGGUGGUGGGGUUAGAAAUGGGAGUGGAGAGGGUGGUGUGGUGUAUAUUUGAAAGGGAUUGACCACUGUCCGCCGCCGUUGGCGAUUUCCGGCGGGCGGAGGGGGGUGGUGUAUGGCUGAAGAAAAAGGGGUUCGAAUUUGGGAAAGGGUGUCAGAUGCGGUUCAGGGGUGUGCUUUUGGUGGCCAUCGGAGCCAACGCCGCCGUGGAUGGCAGAGCUGCCGAGAUUUCAAAGCUUUAUUCGACGAGCCUGUAUGUUCGAAGGAAACCGGUGGUGGGGUUAGAAAUGGGAGUGGAGAGGGUGGUGUGGUGUAUAUUUGAAAGGGAUUGACCACUGUCCGCCGCCGUUGGCGAUUUCCGGCGGGCGGAGGGUGGUGGUGUAUGGCUGGUCUCCGAAGAGAAGAAGGAGAGGCGUGGAGGGGAGGGUGGAGGGUGAUUCGGAAAUUAGUAUAUAAAUGAUUCCACAGUUCCUGACCGUUAGAUUAAACAACCUAGACGGUUAGGAUCAAAAUGCCCUAAAAAACAUCGUUUCGACGUAACAAAAGCUGGAACGGGCAAAAAGGGUUUGGUCUGGACUAGGAAACAGGUUGAAUUUGCAAAAAUGGCCUAAUUUUAUUUCCUUUUCCUCUCUUUCCAUUUCAACCUCUUUUUAAUUCCCUUUCUUUUUUAUUUAAAACUAAAAUACAUCUAAAUUAAUUCCUAAAAUUCCAUUAACCCUAAGAAAUUAACUAAACACAUAUGAUAAAGCACAAAACUAAUUUUAAAAGAAAGAUUAAUUCAAAAUCAAAUUCAAAAGUUAAAAAUUCAAACUAAACUAUUUUUGUGAUUUUUUCUAUUUUAUAAAAUGACUAAUUUUCUUCAAUAAUGCAAAGAUAUCAAAUUGAAUACCAAAAAUGCACAUAUUAUUUUAGUAUUUUUGUGGAUUAAAAUGCACUCAACAUGCAAACCAACACAUAAUUUAUGCAAUUAAAUUUUAAAAAUCACACAGAUAAAGAAAAAUCCUAAUUUUACGAAUUUGUAGGGCUAAUUUAAACUAGGCAAAACUCACAUGCUCACAAUAUUUACAUUGUAGAUUUGUCUACUCUUUCAGAAAAUGAACUCACUUGCUUAAGUAUGUUGGACAAUGAUCCCCUCCUGUGGCACAAAUGACUUGGUUAUGCAAGUCUGAAUAACCUCAACAAAUUAGUCUCCAAGGACUUGGUGAUAGGGUUAUCUAACAUCAAGUUCAAGGAAGACAAAGUUUGUGAGAUCUGUGCAAGGGGGAAACAGGUAAGAUCAUCCUUUAAAAGCACUAAAAUGGAAAGCACAACUAGGACGUUGGAACUGGUUCAUAUGGAUCUCUGUGGUCCAAUGAGAACAUUGAGCAGAGGUGGUAAGAAAUAUGUGAUGGUACUUGUUGAUGANNNNNNNNNNNNNNNNNNNNNNNNNNNNNNNNNNNNNNNNNNNNNNNNNNNNNNNNNNNNNNNNNNNNNNNNNNNNNNNNNNNNNNNNNNNNNNCGUGAUGGUACUUAUUGAUGAUUAUUCUAGGUUUACCUGGGUACUAUUCUUAACAUCUAAAGAUGAAGAAUUUGACAUGUUUAAUGCCUUUGUUAGAAAGACUCGGAAACAACUAGGUAAUCAACUUGCAUCCAUUAGCUCUGAUCAUGGAACUGAAUUUGAAAAUUCUAAGUUUGCUGAAUUUUGUGAUGCGCAUGGUAUAGAUCAUAACUUAUCUGCCCCUAGGAAUCGUCAACAAAAUGGAGUAGUUGAAAGAAAGAAUAUGACUCUUGAAGAUAUGGUUAGGACUAUGCUUCUAUCUAGUAAACUGCCACAUAGCUUCUGGGAAGAAGCUGUAAAUACUGCAUGCUUCAUCAUCUAUUGGCGUAUGACUAGUUCUCUUAAAUUGCUCCACAGCUUCUGGGCAGAAGCUGUAAACACUGCAUGUUAUAUUAUCAAUAGAUGCAUAACUAAACCUCUUGUAGACAAGUCUCCAUAUGAGUUACUUAAAGGGAGAAAACCAAAUAUAUCCCAUCUUAGGAAAUUGGGAUGCAAAUGAUUUGUGCACAAUAAUGGAAAGGACUCCCUGGGUAAGUUUCAUCCCAUAAGUGAUGGAGGAGUAUUCUUGGGAUAUUCUUCAUAUAGAGAAGAAUAUAAAGUGUUCAAUAAAAGAAUUUUGUGUGUAGAAGGAAGUGUGCACGUAGUGUUUUAUGAAAUUAACAUUCUCUCUAAGAGACAGGAACAUAAAGCAAUUAGGCUGGUAAAAGAUUUGGCUGAAGUCUCGGCUCAAGGUAAAGUGGCAUCAAAUGAAAGAACAUAUGAUGGAACGGGUUCUACCAUCCAGAGCAACCUGACAGGGGGAACCGAUCAAAGAGGAGCUGAAACCAAUCCUCUAAAGGAACCUGUUCAUAACCUUAUUCCCCAGCAUCAUAACAUGGGAGAAACAUCAAGCAGAAAUCAAUUGGUUGCGAAACCUCACAAAUAUCAAGGUUCUCAUCCUAUUGAGAAUAUAAUUACUGAUCCAGCCUGUACAAUGCAAGAUAAACUCAAUCAAUUCGAGAAAAGUCAAGUUUUGCAUCUUGUUUCAAGACCCAAGGAUAGAUAAGUAAUUGGCACAAAAUGGGUCUUCAAAAAAACUUGAUGAAGAUAGAACAGUUACAAUAAACAAGGCAAGACAGGUGGUCCAAGGUUACAGCAAAGAGGAGGGUAUAGAUUAUGAUGAGACUUUUGCUCCAAUUGCAAGGCUAGAGGCAAUAAGACUCUUCAUAGCCUUUGACGCACACAUGAAAUUCACUCUUUAUCAGAUGGAUGUCAAGAGUGCCUUCCUGAAUGGCUACCUAAAGAAGAAGUGUUUGUGAAACAACCUCCAGGGUUUGAGAGAAAGAAAUGUCCUGAGCAUGUGUACAAAUUGGACAAGUCUCUCUAUGAACUCAAGCAAGCUCCUAGAGCAUGGUAUGAACGAUUUUCCAAAUUCCUGCUUGAACAUGGCUACAAAAGAGGCAAAAUUGACAGUACUCUAUUAUUGAUGGGAAAAAGUAAGGAUCUUUUUAUGGUACAAAUAUAUGUUGAUGACAUAAUUUUUAGGGCCACCACUGACAAAGUAAGUAAGGAUUUUGCAAAAUUAAUGGGGAGUGAGUUUGAAAUAAGUACGAUGGGUGAACUUAUCUUUUUCUUAGGCUUACAGAUCAAACAUAUCCCAAAUACAACCAUGAUCUAUUAGCAGCAGUAUGCAAAGGAGCUGAUCAAAAAGUUUAAAAUAGAUGAUUCAAAGGAAAUAUACACCCCCAUUGCAACAACUACUAAAUUAGACAUAGAUAAACCUGGUUCAUCCUUUGAUCAGAAGUUGUACAUGGGCAUGAUUGGUUCACUUUUGUAUCUCACUGCUAGCAGAUCUGACGUAGUUUUCAAUGUAGGGCUUUGUACUCGCUUUCAAGCUAAUCCAAAAGAAUCUCACUUGACUGCUGUCAAGCAGAUACAGAGAUAGUUGAAAGUCACUACCGAUCUGUGUCUUUGGUACCCUAAAGGUAGUAAUUUCAAUCUAGUAGGGUAUGAUGAUGCUGAUAUGUAAGUUCCAUUAUGGAUAGAAAGAACACCUCAGUUAUGACACACUUUCUUGGUUCAUGUUUUGUGUCAUGCGCUACUAAAAAACAAAAUUUAAUAACAUUAUCUACUGCUAAAGCUGAGCAUGUUGUUGCUGCUUCAUGAUUGUGCUCAAUUAUUGUGCAUCAGCAGACAUUGAUGAAUUUUGGUAUUGAAGUUGGUUCCAUCCCUAUUUUCUAUGAUAACACUAGUGCUAUUAGUAUGACUAAGAAUCUGGUUCAUCAUAAGAGAAAUAAGCACAUAGAUGUUAGCCACUAUUGUUUUGAGGGACAACUAUGAGAAAUGCUUGAUCACUAUGGAGUUUUGUGCUAUUGACAAUCAAAUUUUUAACUUCUUCAAAAAACCCUUUAGUAGAGAUCAAUUUGAAAGGAACAUGUUAGAAAUAGUGAUGAUUAAGAUCACCUAAAAGAACCAGUUUAAGGUUAAACGAAAAAAUGAAAAAUGAAAAAAAUUGAAAAAAAAUUGGUUAGAAAGUUUGUAAAUUGUAUAUAAUUAGAUUAAAUCUUGCUAAGUCUCAUACUUUCCAUAGUAUACUCUUGUGCCAUGUGUUAAAAUGACUGAUUAAUCUCUAAUGAUAUUUUCUCUAUUUAGGUAAACUUAGACUUACACAAGAGAAUUAACAGUGAAGAACCUGGUUCAUCAACAUAACACAGAAUGUUUUCUACACUCUGCAUAAUUUGAAAUUACUAUAUUUGGAUCAUGAGCAGAGUCCUACCAAAUACCAAACGUUCUUGUGAAUGUAUCUGUUACAAGUGAACCAGUUAUGUUCAAGACUCCUGACCAUAUUAAACUACCUAGAUUCUUUUAAGUCUGUUACUCAAGGGGAAGCAAGUGGUUUUUCCGAAACUGAACAUGUACCUUUUGAUUCUAAAGUUUCUCCUGACACAAUUUCUAAUGUUGCUACAAAUUUGGAAUAUAGAUUUGUAGGAUUUAUAGCAUGUGUUGAGACUAUAAUAUCUGGAGAAGUUGGUGGUAAAAUGAAAAAGAAAAAAAGGAGAGCAAGGGUACUAGAGUACUGUGAGGGGAAAUGAGAUAAGAGUGACUGAUUCUUCACCCACUCAUAUGAGUUUAAAUAAAGACGCAUGUGCAAUGGUUGUUUGGGGAGAUGAACUGGUUCAUCUGUAGAGGAAUCCCUUGCAGACCUAUAGAAAAAAGUGACUAAAAGCUAUAAUCAAGCUUCUUGAUCGAGUUAUUAAUGGUACCAAAAGUCAUACCAUUCCUAUGGAUUCAUUCUCACAACCCUGCUUGCACAUUUCAAAAGUACCUAUGAAAAAAUGGGAGGUUAGUACACGUGUGGAUCAUUUUUGGGUUAAUAAUAUGCUUGCUAGAGAUUAUGAAGUCAAUGUCACUCCUAAAGAACCUAGUUCAUCCAAAAAAAUACCAGUGAAUAGCAAGGUCAGAGUCUUGGUGCAAGAAAGUGAGUCUAAGGAUGCUAAGAUUGAAAGGACGAAGAAGAGGUUGGUUGAGGUAGAGGCUAAGAGAGAUGCUCUCAGAACUGAGCUAGCAAGAGAAAAAGAGAAGAAUGAUGGCAUUCUAUAAGGUAUGCUGAAACUCCUUCAAGUUAAAAACCAACCACCUAUUCUUCCCAGCCUUAAGCCUCAUAGCAUAGCAUAGAUCAACCAAUGACCCGGCUCAGGACUUUUUGUUUCUUUUGCUCAUGUUUCCAGUAUUUUAUUUUUUCUUAUGCUCUUUGAUAGAAUCUUAUCAACCAUCAAUGAAAUUCACUGUCGUUUGCUCUAACUAUUUGUUUAUAUUUCUUUGAUGGUUAAAAUUGUUAGCUUGAUCUAUGAUGAUUAAUCCAUAAUUGCAUUUGAAGUAGCUCCAGUUGGUAUGAGUAAGCUUGAAAAUCUGGUUAUCUCACAUUUUAUGCAACUUUUCAAUAAUGUCGGAAGGGGAAAAACAGUAGUGCUUUAAACAAAUGAUGUUUACACUUAUAAUAUUGAUUUUAUUACCUAAUAUACCUGGUCCUUGAUGAUAAAUGAAAUUUUUUAAAACUUUGCAUUGAUUUUGAGCUGAGCUCUGGCAGGGUCUAAGUGUAUGAAAAGCAUAGAGUUUGUCAUCAUCAAAAAGGAGGAAUUUAUUGACCCAAGUAAAGGUUAGUUUUGAAGACUGACAAAGGAACUCCGGCAUGAACCAGGUCCAUCCUAGUGGUCCAUCCCUCAGGUUCAUAAAAAUGGGAAGACUCGAGUAUGUGGGAUGCACGUGAAGUAGAUAAGCGUAACUUGGUAUAUUUAUAUAUCUAGAUCGAAAAGGUUGCAUAAUUGAUAAGGAACAUGAGUCCUGAAUCAAAGAGAACAUUAUCCAAGAUAGGAAAGGAGAUAGAAGUUAAAAUCAACUCGAACUCCUCCAUCAAGGAAGAGUUGCAUCAGAACUCUAGUUAUUUCUUCAUAUACUAACUCUAUAAAUUGCAGGAUGUUCUCACAUUAAAAGUGUUGCACAAAAACACAGAAGUUAAAUGUGAACUUAGAGAAAAAUAUCAAGGCUUUUUGCAAGCAGUUCGUGUGUAAUUCAAGGGUGCAAACCUGAAGCUACAUGAACUAUUUCACAAAAAUGCAGAAGUUAAAUGUGAACUGAGAGCAAAAUAGCAAGGCUUUUUGCAAGCAGUUCGUGUGUGAUUCAAGUGUGCAAACUUGAAACUACAUGAACCAGAUUGAAGAAUCAGCUCCAUAAAGAGUUUUAUAUGUCGAUCUUUUAUUCUAGUUAAAUUUUAGUAGGUCAUUUUACAUUGUACCUAUCGCACCUUCUUUUUUACACACCACCGAAAGGGGAAUAUAAGGAAGUUUUUCCAACUAAAGGACAAUCGAAACGGGAUUAUUUGUUUAUUUAAAAUUCAGAUUCGCCACUUGGGAUAAUUUAUGGUGUCCCAAUCACCGGUUCAAAUCCCAAAUCGAGGAAAAUAUUGACUCUAUAUUACAACCCGUGAACCAAAAAUCCUGGUAAGGAAUUCUGUUAACCCGGGAGAAGGUGUUAGGCAUUCUUGGAUUCCGUGAUUCUAACACGGUCGCUCAACUAUUAUAAUAGGACUAAUUAUCUGAUUUUAGAAUAUUUUUGAACCUAUGUGCAUUUUCACAUCUAAACCGCUUUAUUCAAUUUUUAAAGGAAAAUUGUAAUGUUAUUUAAAAUGUAUUUUGAACCACGUCACAUAAAUGAACCCUCAGUCCGUAACACAUUUUAUCCAAUAUUGAAAUUUGGAUUUGAGCCACAUAAAUGCGCACCCGAUUUUAGGAAGGUAAAUUAUUAAACUAACUCGCCUAAAAGCAAUUUUGCGUUUGAAACCUUGCAAGAGCCAUAAAAUUCGCUAAAUGGCGCACCUCGAAUUCUAAGGAUAGAAUAGAAUUAAUUAAAAACGAGGGCCAUGCCAUUGUCAUUUUGUUUGGCAUGCACACCUCAAUUCUAAAUUAAAAGGAUUAAUUCAACUAUACAUGUGGGCCAUAAUUGUUUUUGUUGCCUAAUAUGGCUCGUAUCUCCUAUAUGAAAAAUCACUCAGCUAACUAACGAAAAAGGUGAAGAACUCCUUAUUAUUCACAAUUGUUGUCUUAUCAAUUAACAACCACAAAAAAUGGGCAACUGAAGCCAAAAUAAUCUUAAUGAAUAUCCAAAAUCCUCCUGCUCGCAAAUUUGGGCCUAGAAAUCUGGCCUGAGGCUAGCCCAAUGAAGUGAGGUUAAGAGCCUCGAUGGAGCCCUUUUGACGGUAAACUACGGACAUUGAAUUGAUUGUUCAUUUACAAUAAACCAAAAUCACACAAGACUCAAUUAGAUCUGACUCCAAGACAUAUGCAUAAAUUUCCACUCGACCUCCAGAUUUUGUAUUUCUUAAACAAGGAAUAACAGAUGGACAACUUGAUUAAAUACUCCCAAAUCAAACACUCAUCGGUUCAUUAUUCUUGACGGCAAUCUAUCAACUAAUUUUACAAGCCACCGUGUGACUCUUAAUUUAUUUAAUACCUCUGCUUCAUUUACGCGAAUAGUAAAUAGAAUUCUAUGAAAUAACUUGAUGAACAAUCAAUUUUAGACCUGUACUGCACUAAUCCAUGCACUUUUGGUUUAAACCCAUCACAGAAACCUUUGCAUAUCCGAACAAACCCAAACCUCAUUCUCAAACCAAUGCAUGUAUCUGAUUACAUUAAGUACCCGGAGAUUGGUAUCAAUCAGAACAACGAUCACAAAACUCACUUUCAGGAACAUACACUCGUCCUUUUUAUUCAAUAGCUUGACUCACAAGAACUAAAAUGAUAAAUUAAAGACUUAAGAACAAAAGAGAUUAAUCAUAUGAACAAACAUGCCCAUAUUAAACUUGGAUCAUUUUGUAAGCCUAAUGCAAACAGACCAGUGAGGGUAGCAAAUACUUGGUUUACAAGUCCAUCCAAACAUGAAAAUACACAUGACCUCAUGUGACCCUUAAUGAAAUACAUGAACAAGUGAAUACAUGCUUUGAUCUAGCACUAUUAGUCGAACAUAUCUACCAUAAACUAUUCCAUGUAAUUUCUCAACAAAUCUAGCACAUAUCGAAUGGGUGGAUACCAAACAAAGUCCAAUUACAAAUUCCAUCAUAAUCACAAAUAUUCACAACACUACAUUAAUUCAAAAGACUUAGAUACGACUCAAGGCCUUAGAUGAAAGAAAAAAAAACACAGCAAAAUGGAAAGAAGAAGAAGACAAUCAAUAGAUCUUCAUUUUUUCUUCACAAUAUGUCAUUUUUCAGAUUUACUUCACAACCAAAGGGGGUUACAAGGUCGUGUACCUGGAAAUGGAACAAAUGAAACAGGGAUAAGGUAUCAGCAGGGCAGUAUCAAGAGUCAGCACCAGCAAAAUCCACAAAAUUGAUUUGAAACAAUCCAAAACUAAACCCAAUCGAACAAUAAACCCCAUUGAUUUCAAAAACAAGUUUUCAAAACCAGAUUCAAACCAUUUUAACCCAGAUGAAGCAGAAAAUUCUUUUAGAAAAAAAAUGAAAACCUUCAGAUUCAAAGCCAAAGUUUAAUGGAACAGUAGAACUCCUUUCUUUUAUAUUUUUUGGACUUUUUUUUAUAACUAAAAAAAACCUUUGUUGAUCUUCAAGUAACAAUGCCUUUAUAGGAAAGUUACUAGGACAACAAAUAUAGGGUAGGUUUUGCCCUUGAGCCUGUUCUCAAUUUUUAUUAUUGGUUAGAAGUCCCUCAUUUUCUGACUUGCUAGCCAAGCAAGGUUAUUUUCAGGCUUCUAGAAGCUUCUUAAAUAGUUAUUGACAGAUUCCCUUACCAAAUCCCUAAAUUAACCUUCUAUACCUCUGUUAAUUACCCUAAAAACAUUUCGAACCAAUAAUGGGUGAAAUUGACCCAAUCUAAUGGGUCUGAGCAAAACCCCAGUUUAAUUCUUUUCUGGGCUAUUCGACCUUUCAUAGCCCAAUUCCGGAUUAAACUCACAACAUCCAAUGGGCUACACGAAUUUGUUCCCCCAAAAUUCUUUUAUCUUGUAAACAAGAGAUAAAAAUGAAAUAAAACAAAAGAAACAAAGACUAGCAACUGACAACUCUAGUCUCAGGUAUGCAAGCAGAAAACAAUUCGAUCAAACAAGAAUGAAAACUAAAAAAAAGAAAUAGAAAGAGAUGGAGGAGAGGCAUAGACAUAUACAAGAAAACAAGAAUGAAGAACAAAAGACAAAGGAGAGUGCCUAAAGGCUUGGAUAGUAAAAUAGCGACCAAUCUUCAAACUCUCAAAUCUUCGACUCGUCUGAGAUUAAUCAUGUAUUUGUAUCAAAACACAUGAGUAAAAUCAAAAGGAGCCUAAAAUAUUUAGAGGAACCUUGGUUUAGAACAUUUUGGGAUUUUAGGGUUCAAGAUUUAUCUAAAGAUUCGAAGAUUUACGGUAUUCUUUGAGGAAAAUGAGUGACAGAUUUGGGACGAGGAAGGCUUAGGGUUCUUUGGUGUUAGUUUGGGUUCCAAUGGUGGUGGCGCUGCCACCGGAGAAUAUCAUGGCAGCGCUACGAUUUUUUUUUAUCUAAGAUUUGGGGGAUUCUAUCCAGGUUUGAGAUGUGAGGAGUAGAAGUUUGGAAAGAAAAGGGUGAAGCAGCGAUCUGGUGUAAAUUUGGCGGCGAUUGGAUGCCGACUGCCGCCUAAGAAAUUUUCGGCGGGCAGUGGAUGCUGGCUUAGGGCGGAGCUCGGCUGGGCUUUGGAGGGUUGAAGGGGAUCACUGGGGUAGGGGGCUUGUUUGGACACUUAUAAGGGGUAAAUUGGGCAGUUCCCAACCGUGGGAUCACCCAAGAUCAAUGGUUGGGAUUAAACACAACCAAACGACGUCAUUUGGGGAGGGGGGAGGAACUGGAC